rnacentral:rRNA from 1 species
AUGCUUUUGCUUAGAUAUUAUGAUGAUUUUUUUUCAUGUCUUGUGUUGUCGAUCGUUGACAAGACACGGCAAACAGGGAGCCAUGGAGAUGAUGAGCAGGACGGUGUAGGCCAGAAGAUGAUGGUUGAACCUUUGUAUGCAGCCUGCCAGGGAUACCAAAUCAUCGACCUUGACCUGCUUUGCAAUCGAGGUGAGGUCCCUGGCCGGACAAGCAGAGCAGGCAAUCUCGACCUCCGCUCGCUUCUCCCGCCGCUGGAUGAUGCUCUGUCUCUGUGUGUGUACUGCGCUGGGCGCCGCAGGAGCCGACAUUGGUGA